CGGGGCGUGGUGCAGGGGCAGCACGCUUGCUUUGGGAGCAAGAGGUCGGCGGUUCGAAUCCGCCCGCCCCGA
rnacentral:tRNA from 4 species